rnacentral:lncRNA from 1 species
GGCGUGCGUACGGCAUCAAGAUUUGCUUGCAAAACAAAAGCGCUGGUUGCCUGUGCUUUCAGUAUCAGUUCUCUCCUUUGUGCAGCAGAGUCUGAUCACCUUACGAACAUCUAAAAUGGCUUUCGCUCUCGGCACCUCGCGCGAGGCUCUGCAGGUCGCAUGCAAGGCGACCGGCAAGAAGGCCGCUGCUAAGGUCCGUUUUAUUUCGACACCAUUUAUUUUAUCAGCGUACCUUACAUAGACGCACAUACGUAUUUGCAGUGUCCUCUGGCUAACCAGAGACGUUUGUCCCGUUCGCAACAUCUUUACAGCCGGCUGCCCCCAAGAGCUCUGGCAUCGAGUGGUAUGGCCCGAACCGCGCUAAGUGGCUCGGUAGGUUAUCCUGGAGAUCCGAGGAGAUCCGAUAUGCAGCGGGUGUAGCGCGUAUCGGAGGGCCGGAAUAAUCGGUCGGUCUCCUGCAUGGUCCUCCUUUCGGCGCAACAUGCCGCAGCGUCAGGUUUCUGUGCGCAGGCUGCUCUCUCGGUCCUUUGCUGACAUCGCGCGAUGCAUGCUGCGAUGAAGGGCACAGGUUGCGUCUUUCCCCCUUUCGCGACCUGCCGUUCAGUAGCCCGCUGCCGCCGUAUGUCCGCUUUCCCCUUCUGUGCCCACAUCGGACAGGCCCCUACAGCGAGAAUGCCACCCCUGCCUACCUGACUGGCGAGUUCCCCGGUGACUACGGCUGGGACACUGCUGGCCUGUCUGCUGACCCGGAGACGUUCAAGCGCUACCGCGAGCUGGAGCUGAUCCAUGCACGCUGGGCCAUGCUUGGCGCUCUGGGCUGCCUGACCCCCGAGCUGCUGUCCAAGAACGGCGUGCAGUUCGGUGAGGCUGUGUGGUUCAAGGCCGGCGCUCAGAUCUUCCAGGAGGGCGGCCUGGACUACCUGGGCAACCCGUCGCUGGUGCACGCUCAGAACAUCGUCGCGACGCUGGCGUGCCAGGUGGGCGGGAGGGACGUGGCUGCAUGCUUAGGAAUGUGUCCGGUCGCCUUACUUGUUAGCUGGCUAGGUGAAACAAGGUGGGGCGCGGCAACUGUGCUGCCAGCCCUUGACUGUUGCAAGCUCCCCUGCCUUUUGCGCGCUCUUACAUUCAGCUUGGGUUUGGAUUCCUAGUCGCAGCCUUGUGACAUGUGAGCAUUGUGCGCUAUCGCACGCACAUCCAGGAAUCUGGGUGUCUCGUUUCCUAUCCAGCUUGGUUUUAUUGCAGGCCGUACCCUGGCGUGUUGCUUAUCCGUAUUGACCGCUGUCUUCUCCCCCGCUCUCGCUGCUCACGUGCCGCGCAGGUGAUCCUGAUGGGCCUGGUGGAGGGCUACCGUGUGAACGGCGGCCCGGCCGGCGAGGGCCUGGACCCGCUGUACCCCGGCGAGUCGUUCGACCCCCUGGGCCUGGCUGACGACCCGGACACCUUCGCCGAGCUCAAGGUCAAGGAGAUCAAGAACGGCCGCCUGGCCAUGUUCUCCAUGUUCGGCUUCUUCGUGCAGGCCAUUGUGACCGGCAAGGGGCCCAUUGAGAACCUGAACGACCAUCUGGCCAACCCGGCCGUCAACAACGCCUUCGCCUUCGCCACCAAGUUCACGCCCAGCGCGUAAUGUAUCGCUGCUAUGUUUGCUAGUCGAAGCGGUUGUCCGCAUCUGCCGGCCGCUGCUGCCUUCAGCUACGUUACGUUGUUUAGCUAUGUGAACGUAGACACAGCAUAACCAAUAAACUGACAAUACCGGUAUACGAGACGUCACAUGCAUAGCAAUUGCAGGCAGUAGUUGCCUAUCCGUCACUGUUGGGUAAAUACGCUUGGAUGCGCAACUUGCCAAAACUGUUGAGUGAUGCGUGGGAGCUUGUCAGUUAUGUCCAUCGAACCUCGUUGUCGCACUGUGGCCACCUGUGGUUUUUAUGUCGUGUUCCUGCGAUGAGUUUCCGCAUGGUGCCGUGGUGAGUGGUGAGUGGUGAGCAGCGGCGGAAGCGGUCCUGUUACGGGCCUGAAGUUUUGUUGUGGGUGUCAGCCAGCAGGAGUUUCCCACAGCACGGGUGUUGAGGUGGAGCUCUUACUUUUGGGUGGGGUAGUGGGCGGUGAGACGUGAGAUGUCAAGAGCUUCAUACAAGGCGCAUGCACGUGCUGGGUGCGUUGCGCCAAGCAAGCUCCUGUAACAUUUCGGGUGUUCAUGAAGUAAGGAAGGUGUCGGUUCCAGUGCUUGUUUCACCGCUUCUUGGGGCUGGAGCACAUACAGCCAAUUUGGUGGGCACGUACUGCAAAGGCGGCCACACAACAGGCACACAUGGGGAACACGCGUGAGACAUGAGCUAAAGGAACAUGUCAUCAUUCAGAGGGAUGAUUCGAGGUGCAUAUGACCACGCUCUGUCGCGCAUAAAAAGCCAAGGGUUAUCGUGGCUUUCCUGUGUUAGCGAAGUGAGCUCAGGCGCUUCAUCGCGGGUUGAUGGCCUCGGUUGUCGUACAGUGCAAGAGUUAAACUUCAGCAAAACAUGUUGGUAGGUCACUCCUCGACGACAUCAGCAGCAGGGUAGUCACGCCUACCUCCCGUUCGGCCCCACGGUCUCGAUCCACAAUCGCACAACCACCGAUAAACUGAAUCCCCGAUAAGAAUCCGAACUUGAAUCGAUGGGAUAUGGUGGUUAGCACGUGAUGGAACCGGAAGCGUGAAGAGUUGGUGUGGGACCAGGGGACCCCCCGGCAGGGUAGUCACGCCUACCUCCCGUUCAGCCCAAUGGUCUCGAUCCACAAUCGCCGAUUAGUUAUUUCUCCGAUUGAUUUGGAACCAGAAUCGCCCAGAUUUGGUGGGGAUGCAUGUAUGCGUGCCACCUGUAACCCGCCUGGAGGGGCCAUCAGCACACCAGCGCACUCGAUAAUCUCGAUAAAACUAACCGUGUAACUCGUAUCGCAUCGCUCACAAUCGCUUAAGCCCGAUCAGUGAAUCGACGCGACCAGAAACAGCUGCAUUGGGAAUCCGCGCGACUUUGGCCGGACAGCGACCCUGCGACUUCCCGCCGACUGCAGCUUUUCUUCGCUUCGGUCGAUAUCAAAUACUAUCAAAGUCCAUAAACGCAGAACUUUGGUUAGCGAGGAGUCGCGAGAUGUUUCACAGCAGCUAACUUAGGAACCUUCGCACGUGUGCGCCGAUUUGCCGAAGCAACCAGUUACGCACACCUCUUUUUCUAUGGGUUGGCAACUCACUGGGCGCGCGUAACCCUCAGAAACCCUCAGUAACUGUCAGUUCCGCUCAGUUGGGCUCAGUCCCACUCAGUUCCCCUCAGUUCCUCUCAGUACCGCUCAGUUCCAUUCAGUUAGGCUGAGUUUUCUCAGAAGAACUAAUAAUUCAUACAAACAGUAUAGCAAGCUUCAGGCAGACUUCUGCAUCUUCCACUGGCCUUGUUGGCUCUGAAGGCAUCAGGACUCACCUACCAUACCUUGCAUCUGCUACAAUACAAUCAAACCUUACUUGGUACUCCAGUGCACCGUCCUUGAACCUACUCUUCUCUAAUCGACUAACCUCCACAUGCUCCUCACCUUCGUUACUCUCCUUCGUGGGCUCCUUGCGUCCUUGGUCAUAAUUUGCCCGGCUACUGGCAGCCCCUGGGCAGCCCCGACCCACGACCGGGAUCAGGCGCGGUGUGGGCGGAAUAGCCCUGAAAACUUAGCGCAAAGCCCUAUUCACCGAAGGCAGACCUAAGAAGCGCUGUCAGGAACUGUGCACAGGCCCGCUUGGGGCCAGGAUUCUGAAGUGUCAGUUUGGGUUGACAGCGCCUCAGGCACUCCUAGGCUAGGCCUUGGCUCUGCACUUACCACCCUGCACGUCCUCCUCCUGGAACGUGGAUGGGCGCCUGCACUGCUGCUGCUGCUCCUGGCGCCAAAACACAGCCGAGCAUUCCUGCCGCGCAUGAGAAACUGUCACAAGCGGUGCCCCAGGCCGAAGCCACCAGAAGCAAGCCAGCGUGUUACAUGCAGCUCCUUGGUCCUGGCCCUCAUCCUAGUUCUUUUGCGAAAUGUAUGUGGUUGCCGGCGAAGAAAGGAGAGCAAUUACGUAUAUGUCAAGUAGUCGACUUGGAUAACCCUCGAUAGAGCCCAGUGCCCGGCAAGCCUCUGGUGUUCUCUGUUCCCCCGGCAUACCUUAGUCAAGGUAUUUCUGCUCUGCACCCGGAUGAAGACACUCAUCGCACGCUUGUCCCUGUCCUUGUUCGCAUGGUCCUGCGGGGGCACACUAACCUGCUGUGGUGACCGCGCCUCCCUCAGACGGGACAGCUACGGCACCUGAAGGCAAAGCGAGCAUCCGGGGAUACAGAGACAAGCAAAGCUUUGCAGGCCUUUAUGCAGGCCGAAGUUAUCAGAGCACUUAAAGGUGAGGAGCGAGGAGGUGCAAAGUUUCUUGGAGGGCAUGGGCUCCUUACUUACCCGGGGCGUCCUGUCCGGCCCGGCCUGGCCCGCAUGAGCCUGUCCUCAGCCUCCCUGACCGCAGCCGCAUCCUGAAGAAGUCGCAUUGGAAUCCAAGAGGCUGGGAAAACGAGACCACGCGCUGUCCCCUCGUCCUGCAGCUUGCCUAUCAUGCUGUUGUUGCUGAACAACUGCGGCCGGCCGUAUUGUGCCGAUGGUGACUCGAGCCUUUCUGCAUUCCAUCACAUCGACCGCGCCCCUGUUUGCGCACCGACCAUGCCAUGUCGAGCAAGGAGCUCAGUGACGCCUCUGCUGGCUUACUGAACGAUGUGAGGGAGUGAGGGGUGACAAGCUCGGAGUGUGAUUCGGCCCCGAUCCCGGCCCAGAUCCCGGAUGACGAAUCGUGCAGCAACGAAAUCUACGUGCUACUGGUCUUCCAUCAGUCAGCUGUCGAGGUGGGCAGUUGUUCUUGGGGGGGGGGGGCAGCUCAGGACGUGUUGUGGUGCUGUGCACACGCCGUGCCUGAGUGCCAGUCCUCCCUCUUCCAAACACGGCAGGAUAAGCUUCACGUGCAGGCGUCGGGUCAGCACACUGUGUACAUCCGGUCGCCUUGCACAGGCGUUCCAACACUGCGGGGCCGAGCGAGGCCCGUGGUUCGCUUGCGUUCGGCCUGCGAACCUCGCCAGACGCGCGGCUUGCGUAAAAGCAGUAAUCUAUUAACAGAUAGGCAGGCGGCUGGCAGUAAUCUAUUAACAGAUAGGCAGGCGGCUGGCAGAGGUUAAGGCCUGACUUCUGCUCCCAGUCGACCCAGUCGACCCGGGUUCAUAUCCGCCUGCCGGCUCCUCGGGUAUUUGAGGAGUGAUGAAAUGGGAGGUGGCCCCCCAUCAUAUGGACGGUGUAGGACGUGAUAAUAUCAACUUGCGAGCUGACCAGGAACUAAGUUGAUGCGCCGUUGAUCCGCUAGAUUUGGUUGGAUGCUGGUGGUGAGUUGCCGAACCCAACGAAUACAUUCUGAAGUCGGAUGGGGUGACGGAUUAGGGUGCCCCUCUAGCAGGGGAGAGCAGGGACUGCCCCGGGAAAGGGGGCCGCUGGCGAAGUUAACCACCCUGUAACAACAUACAUAUAGAUUCCAUGAGGUGCUGCGCAGCUCACUUCCCACGGCUACCGAGAUGUUAACCGAUGGCCAGGUAGUACUUUGCGGGUGCUUCUCUGUGUUUUCACGAAGUUGCUCGUCACACUGUACAAUCUAAUUCAGCAUUGCCGAGUCGCGAGCACGUCCCAAACGACUCCAUAACUUCCUGCAGUUUCCACUCCAGAAUAAAAUAGGGGGGUCCUUGUGAAGCAGCUGCCCGCGUUUCUAAAGCCUGUAUGUUGUUGGAUAGUAAGUUGCAGAAUGGGGCCAGGCUGGAGAGGCAAGUGCAGUGGCAUAAUGGAAUGUAGAUGAGUAGAAGCUGUUUCCAGGGCGCUUGGCGCACGGCACAAUGUACAUGCAGUCAUGUCGUCACAAGUGCGUAUGCAAGAACAACAGGAACAACAACCAGAAGAACAAGAACAGCACCACAGGAACAGCGUGUGCACAGGCCACGUUGCGUCGGUCCUUUGCUAUGAUGUAGGAACGAAGAAUAAGGCCUAGGUUCAAGUUUCCUGUUGCGCGUGGAUGGCCAUGCCAGAACAGGCAACAUGAUGGGUGAACUCGCACGCUACCAACUUGCCCCUGAGCACGCGACGAGCGGACAUAGAAAAGAGCGCAGCGGGCCCCCCCCUUUCCCCCAACGCUCACGCAAUAGACCAUCCCAAGCGCUGCUGUCCGUAUGGGCCGCAGCCGCCGUUCACACACGAGUUAAGUCCGACAUGUAUGCACCGUGAACAUGUAUGCACCGUGAAUGAAACCCUAAGUGUGAUCGUGCCCAAAUACAACAGCACUGCCCAAUGUCCAGAAGCCUAGCGCCGAAAUCGUGGGACCCUGUCCGUCAAGCGUUAGGUGUCCAGUUGCUGUGUGGGCUAGGCGAGCGUGGCUGGGGUGUCAUCGUCUUGGACUGUCACGGCGGUGGGCGUGUGGGCGCUGCCGGCGCGUUGCCGGCUCAUCGCGUAGAAGGCCGGGCUGGCGGAAGGCGGCCCGCGCAGCACAUUGUAGCCGCCCGGCCCCCGGGCCUUGAACUGCGCGAUGUAGAGGGCCUCCAUCUUUUGGGCUAGAGCAGGAUUGGCGGUGCGCAAAGCGUAUGAUGGUCGACCCCGCCGGCUAAAGCUACACGUCCCCAACUGAAGAUAUUCUCGGUGGUUUACCAGCAGGUGUUGUGCUUCCUGCUGUCUGAUGUCCUGAACGCUUCCUCUUCCCGCAGCCGUUUCAAGCGCCCAGUCUUGCAAGCUACGUUGUAUGCUUUCAUAUCUUUUCAUAUCUUAUUCAGCUCAGGCUAAGCAGCCAGCCAAAAGUCCGAGAUGCAUACCGCUUGUGACUGCGGCCAACAUGCCCUGACGAGCGGCCUAACGCCGAAAAAAUUACAUACACUUUUACAGGCGCAUUUUGAGAAUUGAACGCGCGCAUCCGCACGGCAAAAUUCGCUCCUGGCUUUUUUGGGACGAUGUACGAACUGUUUUUGGGCACAGUACGACCGGACACAUUUGUGCGAGAGGCUGCUUAAAUAGGGGGGUCCUUGUGACGCAGCUGCCCGCGUUUUCAAAGCACGUAUGGUGUUGGAUUGUAAGGUGCCCAAGUACGUUUGCGAGGAAGAGAAUGUGGCCAGGCUGGAGAGGAAAGUGCAGUGGCAUAUUGGAAUGUGAGAUUAGCGUAAGCGAGUUACAGGGCGUUUUAUUGCACGGGCGAAUUUACGUGCAAAUCUUUCACCGUAGCAUCAGUCCUCAGUUCACUUCUUGGAACGAACAUCAGCAUAGGUGCAAGCCCUCUCGCUUGGGGGGAUAUGCAAACAAACAUCCUGAUAGGGGUAAACUCGCACGCUACCGAGCAUUCAACCGAGCACAUGCAUGCUUAGUGAAUNNNNNNNNNNNNNNNNNNNNNNNNNNNNNNNNNNNNNNNNNNNNNNNNNNUUUUGGGUCCAGCAGAGCUUGGACCUUGUGUUCACCGGCCCUGUCCGGGAUGGAAUGCCCUUUGCCGUCCUAAGCAGCGUGACCCAUUAUAUCAGCUUGCUUCCUAGCAAGGACAACAGCUACUGUCCUCCCGUCCUACGGUACUGGUAAUGAGUAAAGGCCGAACAGCUAGGGUCAAACAUGGAGAGACCACUUUUGGCGCCUAAAGAAUGCAUUGCAGUGCGUAUCAAAAUCCAUGUUCAGCGUGCACGUCACAGCAUUUAUACAGUCGCCACUGAGUUAUCCCUGCAUCAGAAACUUGUAUGAAACUUGCAAGCAGGUGUAGCAAAUCGUUCAUGCCAAUCUGUGCAAGUGCAGAUAGCUGUUAAGCGCAUGUGUUGCAGGUGUGCCAUGUCUGUAUCCUGCGAUCUCUGUUAGGUAAGCGCCCUGUCCCACGGACAGGACAGGGAUACGGCGUGCGUACGGCAUCAAGAUUUGCUUGCAAAACAAAAGCGCUGGUUGCCUGUGCUUUCAGUAUCAGUUCUCUCCUUUGUGCAGCAGAGUCUGAUCACCUUACGAACAUCUAAAAUGGCUUUCGCUCUCGGCACCUCGCGCGAGGCUCUGCAGGUCGCAUGCAAGGCGACCGGCAAGAAGGCCGCUGCUAAGGUCCGUUUUAUUUCGACACCAUUUAUUUUAUCAGCGUACCUUACAUAGACGCACAUACGUAUUUGCAGUGUCCUCUGGCUAACCAGAGACGUUUGUCCCGUUCGCAACAUCUUUACAGCCGGCUGCCCCCAAGAGCUCUGGCAUCGAGUGGUAUGGCCCGAACCGCGCUAAGUGGCUCGGUAGGUUAUCCUGGAGAUCCGAGGAGAUCCGAUAUGCAGCGGGUGUAGCGCGUAUCGGAGGGCCGGAAUAAUCGGUCGGUCUCCUGCAUGGUCCUCCUUUCGGCGCAACAUGCCGCAGCGUCAGGUUUCUGUGCGCAGGCUGCUCUCUCGGUCCUUUGCUGACAUCGCGCGAUGCAUGCUGCGAUGAAGGGCACAGGUUGCGUCUUUCCCCCUUUCGCGACCUGCCGUUCAGUAGCCCGCUGCCGCCGUAUGUCCGCUUUCCCCUUCUGUGCCCACAUCGGACAGGCCCCUACAGCGAGAAUGCCACACCUGCCUACCUGACUGGCGAGUUCCCCGGUGACUACNNNNNNNNNNNNNNNNNNNNNNNNNNNNNNNNNNNNNNNNNNNNNNNNNNNNNNNNNNNNNNNNNNNNNNNNNNNNNNNNNNNNNNNNNNNNNNNNNNNNUGGCGCACGGCACAAUGUACAUGCAGUCAUGUCGUCACAAGUGCGUAUGCAAGAACAACAGGAACAACAACCAGAAGAACAAGAACAGCACCACAGGAACAGCGUGUGCACAGGCCACGUUGCGUCGGUCCUUUGCUAUGAUGUAGGAACGAAGAAUAAGGCCUAGGUUCAAGUUUCCUGUUGCGCGUGGAUGGCCAUGCCAGAACAGGCAACAUGAUGGGUGAACUCGCACGCUACCAACUUGCCCCUGAGCACGCGACGAGCGGACAUAGAAAAGAGCGCAGCGGGCCCCCCCCUUUCCCCCAACGCUCACGCAAUAGACCAUCCCAAGCGCUGCUGUCCGUAUGGGCCGCAGCCGCCGUUCACACACGAGUUAAGUCCGACAUGUAUGCACCGUGAACAUGUAUGCACCGUGAAUGAAACCCUAAGUGUGAUCGUGCCCAAAUACAACAGCACUGCCCAAUGUCCAGAAGCCUAGCGCCGAAAUCGUGGGACCCUGUCCGUCAAGCGUUAGGUGUCCAGUUGCUGUGUGGGCUAGGCGAGCGUGGCUGGGGUGUCAUCGUCUUGGACUGUCACGGCGGUGGGCGUGUGGGCGCUGCCGGCGCGUUGCCGGCUCAUCGCGUAGAAGGCCGGGCUGGCGGAAGGCGGCCCGCGCAGCACAUUGUAGCCGCCCGGCCCCCGGGCCUUGAACUGCGCGAUGUAGAGGGCCUCCAUCUUUUGGGCUAGAGCAGGAUUGGCGGUGCGCAAAGCGUAUGAUGGUCGACCCCGCCGGCUAAAGCUACACGUCCCCAACUGAAGAUAUUCUCGGUGGUUUACCAGCAGGUGUUGUGCUUCCUGCUGUCUGAUGUCCUGAACGCUUCCUCUUCCCGCAGCCGUUUCAAGCGCCCAGUCUUGCAAGCUACGUUGUAUGCUUUCAUAUCUUUUCAUAUCUUAUUCAGCUCAGGCUAAGCAGCCAGCCAAAAGUCCGAGAUGCAUACCGCUUGUGACUGCGGCCAACAUGCCCUGACGAGCGGCCUAACGCCGAAAAAAUUACAUACACUUUUACAGGCGCAUUUUGAGAAUUGAACGCGCGCAUCCGCACGGCAAAAUUCGCUCCUGGCUUUUUUGGGACGAUGUACGAACUGUUUUUGGGCACAGUACGACCGGACACAUUUGUGCGAGAGGCUGCUUAAAUAGGGGGGUCCUUGUGACGCAGCUGCCCGCGUUUUCAAAGCACGUAUGGUGUUGGAUUGUAAGGUGCCCAAGUACGUUUGCGAGGAAGAGAAUGUGGCCAGGCUGGAGAGGAAAGUGCAGUGGCAUAUUGGAAUGUGAGAUUAGCGUAAGCGAGUUACAGGGCGUUUUAUUGCACGGGCGAAUUUACGUGCAAAUCUUUCACCGUAGCAUCAGUCCUCAGUUCACUUCUUGGAACGAACAUCAGCAUAGGUGCAAGCCCUCUCGCUUGGGGGGAUAUGCAAACAAACAUCCUGAUAGGGGUAAACUCGCACGCUACCGAGCAUUCAACCGAGCACAUGCAUGCUUAGUUGAAUGGUGAGAUGCGACCCCCCCUUCAUUUCGUGCUCGGCAAGCCUGCCACCGCGUACCGGAUAUGUUGGCGAUGUUACAGAACGCUGCACCUUGGUUUCUGUGCGCAUUGCGUACGUUGCUCGACCCCGCCGACCAAAACUACACGUGCCCAACUGAAGACGUUCCCGGUGGUUGUGCAGCAGCUCUUGAGGCUGUUGCUGGCUGAAAUCCAUCCUGAGCUGUUGCAACACGGCUAACGCGGGCACGUCCCUAUGCACAGCAAAUAGCUGUUCCAAGCCAACAGCGGCGUCCAUGUCACCGACAAGGCUCUAAACGUCUUAUCUGUUCUGGUCCUUUUCCGCCAAGAAUAUUUAUAUACACUUGUACAGGCGCAUUUUGCGAAUCGCACGCGCGCAUCCGCACGGCAAAAUUCGAAAGAAAAUUCUUUUGGGACGAUGUACGAACUGUUUUUGGGCACAGUACGACCGGACACAUUUGUGCGAGGGGCUGCUUAACAAGAGCUUGUGAGGACCACUCUCAACCGCCAUAAAUCAUAGGGGGGUCCUUGUGAAGCAGCUGCCCGCGUUUUCAAAGCACGUAUGGUGUUGGAUUGUAAGGUGCCCAAGUACGUUUGCGAGGAAGAGAAUGUGGCCAGGCUGGAGAGGAAAGUGCAGUGGCAUAUUGGAAUGUGAGAUUAGCGUAAGCGAGUUACAGGGCGUUUUAUUGCACGGGCGAAUUUACGUGCAAAUCUUUCACCGUAGCAUCAGUCCUCAGUUCACUUCUUGGAACGAACAUCAGCAUAGGUGCAAGCCCUCUCGCUUGGGGGGAUAUGCAAACAAACAUCCUGAUAGGGGUAAACUCGCACGCUACCGAGCAUUCAACCGAGCACAUGCAUGCUUAGUUGAAUGGUGAGAUGCGACCCCCCCUUCAUUUCGUGCUCGGCAAGCCUGCCACCGCGUACCGGAUAUGUGGUUCAUAUACCCCCCCUGGCGGACGGUGGAACCGUCCAUGGCGGACGGUCUGCCGGACGGUCGACCGUCCGGCACAGCUUUCCGGGCACACAUACCAACACAUACCAACGUAUUUUUGCACGAAGCAAAAGACAUUUUGUUGUAGUUUAUCCUGGUGCUCGCGGCGCGCGCGGGCGUGGAGCGCGCGCAGAGAUUCCUUGCGCAAGCCGGCAGCACGGCAUGCAAACUGCGUCCAGAUGAGCCCUUUACCCUUGCAAUUUGCUGAGCUUAUAGUGAAUUAAAGUUUUAUAAUCUUUUCAUGGAUAAUGUAAUGCAAUGUGCUAUACUGGGGGCUACAUCGAUGCAAGCGCUAGGCGCCAGCAAAUGCAUGAAAUGUAAACAAAGCUAAAACUAGCAUUCGGCUAAGUCAAUUAGAUGUAGGAGCAUAUUUAUCUGGCGGUUUGGGGCCAGGAUUGGACAGCAGCCAUGGGCGACCUGUGUGCAUGGGACCCUGUGUAUCUGAGAGCCUGUGUGCCUGGAAGCCUAGGAUUCUAAAAGCCUGUGUGCCUGGGAGUCUGGGAACGUGGGAGCGUGGGCGCCUGGGAUUCUGUAAGCAUGGGUUUCUGAUCGCAUGUUUACUUGGGAGCCUGGGAUUCUGAGAGCCUGGGAAUCUGGGAGACUGGGAGCGUGGGAGCUAGGGAACCUGGGAGCCUGGGAUUCUUCGAGCCUGGGAACCUGGGAGCGUGGGAGCUUGGGGACCUGGGAGCUUGGGGACCUGGCAGCCUGGGGACCUGGCAGCCUGGGGGGCUGGCAGCCUGGGGACCUGGCAGCCUGGGAACCUGGCAGCCUGGGGACCUGGCAGCCUGGGGGGCUGGCAGCCUGGGGGGCUGGCAGCCUGGGGACCUGGCAGCCUGGGGACCUGGCAGCCUGGGGACCUGGCAGCCUGGGGACCUGGCAGCCUGGGGACCUGGCAGCCUGGGGACCUGGCAGCCUGGGGACCUGGCAGCCUGGGGACCUGGCAGCCUGGGGACCUGGCAGCCUGGGGGGCUGGCAGCCUGGGGACCUGGCAGCCUGGGGACCUGGCAGCCUGGGGGGCUGGCAGCCUGGGGACCUGGAGCCUGGGAGGCUGGGAGCCUGGGGAUUCUGAGCAGCCUGGGAUGCUUAGAGCCUGGGAGCCUGUGUGCCUGGGAGCCUGGGAACCUGGGAACCUUGCAGCCUGGGAUUCUAAGAGCCUUUGUGCCUGUGUGCCUGGGAGCCUGGGAACCUGGGAACCUUGCAGCCUGGGAUUCUAAGAGCCUUUGUGCCUGUGUGCCUGGGAGCCUGGGAACCUGGGAACCUUGCAGCCUGGGAUUCUAAGAGCCUUUGUGCCUGUGUGCCUGGCAGCCUGGGAACCUGGCAGCCUGGGAACCUGGCAGCCUGGGAACCUGGCAGCCUGGGGACCUGGCAGCCUGGGGGGCUGGCAGCCUGGGGACCUGGCAGCCUGGGAACCUGGGAGCCUGGAACCUGGCAGCCUGGGGGGCUGGCAGCCUGAGCCUGUGUGCCUGGCAGCCUGGGAACCUGGCAGCCUGGGAUGUUAAGAGCCUGUGUGCCUGUGUGCCUGGGAACCUGGCAACCUGGCAGCCUGGGAUUCUAAGAGCCUGUAUGCCUGGGAGCCUGUGUGCCUGGGAGCCUGGGAACCUGGCAGCCUGGCAACCUGGCAGCCUGGGAUUCUAAGAGACUUUGUGCAUGGCAGCCUAUGUGCCUGGGAGCCUGGCAGUCUGGGAUUCUGAGAGCUUGGGACCCCAGUCUUCACUGAAACCUUGGUAUGGCUUGGUUGGCCUGUCCGCCAUGCGCUGUGUUGCACAGACAGGCUGGCAGGCGGAAUGCAGGACAAGGGCAUAACCGGGUGCGGGGCGUGGUGCCGUGUUGGGUCUUGGGGACAUGCGCAAGCUGUGCGCCAGCUCGGAUGCCAUACAAUGGCCUCUUUCCACCGCCAAAUGAUCAUUUACCCAGUAGAGCAUUCAUUGUGCCAUUCAGAGCCGACAAAGGGAUGGAACGACGUGUUGGGCGUGACGGUCAGUUUUUGCUGAAUCCCUUUCACUAAUGCCCAGUGCUUGUGGCCAUUGCAAUGACCUUAUUGCAUGAUUCAAUUGUUCCAGUGCGUUGGUGUUAUUUAAGCAGGUUACAUAAACAGGUCAUUAGAAUGCCGCGCGCGCGCCUUGGGAUGUUGUCUUUUUUCUUUCGAUUGCUUUCUCCUUUUAUGCUAGAAGCCUUUUGACUAUGUGCGUCACAAUUUUGGGGUUAGUUUCUCCUGGCGAGUGUUUUGCGCGUUAAUUGCUUGCCAAGGAGUGCAAGCUGGAGCAUUAAUUAUUAGCGUCUCAUGAAUCAUCUACAUACAGAUGUUUUGGAGCUUUGGACCAUCGUUUCCAUGACCGUCCGCUAGCCGUCCGCUGGAACGGUCAGGAUGUACGGCGUUGCGGACACAGGGGACCGUCCGCCGGCGGGGAAUAUGUGGGCGAUGUUACAGAACGCUGCACCUUGGUUUCUGUGCGCAUUGCGUACGUUGCUCGACCCCGCCGACCAAAACUACACGUGCCCAACUGAAGACAUUCCCGGUGGUUGUGCAGCAGCUCUUGAGGCUGUUUCUGGCUGAAAUCCAUCCUGAGCUGUUGCAACACGGCUAACGCGGGCACGUCCCUAUGCACAGCAAAUAGCUGUUCCAAGCCAACAGCGGCGUCCAUGUCACCGACAAGGCUCUAAACGUCUUAUCUGUUCUUCUGUUUAAUUAAGUUUAUGUAUGUUAUACUUUGCGCAACUUUGUAAUUUGACUUUACUCUGAACAAGGUGCUGCAUACAACUGCCUCGUCGCCAGCGCUUCAUCUUCCGCGGCAGUUUCACGAGCCCAGAGUUGCAAGCUACGACGUUGGCUUUCGGUGCUUUGAGUUACUGCAAAGCAUCCACGCAAUAGUCCAGCCUGCAUGCCGCGUGCGGCUAUGGCCAACAUGCCCACCUGCGCAACGCGCUGGCGCACCUGGUCCUUUUCCGCCAAGAAAAUUUAUAUACACUUGUACAGGCGCAUUUUGCGAAUCGCACGCGCGCAUCCGCACGGCAAAAUUUGAAAGAAAAUUCUUUUGGGACGAUGUACGAACUGUUUUUGGGCACAGUACGACCGGACACAUUUCUGCGAGGGGCUGCUUAAAAAUCCAUCAAGGAAAAGCAACAUUACCCUUCAGUUUCUCCUAGUGCACUUGAGUGGGCCUCCCCUACUAGGUUCCUACCCUUCCAGGGAGCCUCAUCCAAACAACUCAUUGUCAUGGACUGUAGAAAACGAGCCUUCGAGGCCGUGAAUGCAGUUGCGCGUGGCGUUGACAAAGGCGAGCUGCUGUCUUUUCUGCGCAAGGUGCCAAAUGAGGAACUCGCUACGUGGCCUAUCGAGGGCCAAGACAAUGAGACCAUCUAUGGAUUCGUCCGUGCGGAGGCCCGAGGUGAGGGAUUUCUCAUCGGCGGCUUGGCCUGAGCAAAAGCAGCAGCUCUAACAUCCCGCGGCGGAUCAGUACGUACGCGACGCGAAGAGCGCGGUGAAGUGGGCUGGCGAUCUCGCGGAUUUACCUCUGCCGCUGUGGGCACAGCUGCACGGGUCCCAAUGGCGACCGGUUGCCUGUCUGACCGAUGAAUAUCCUCAAAGCGUGUUGGGGUUCUUUGCUCGCGACCUUGAAGCAGGAAUCCGUUGUGCUACCCUCCCCUUGCAGGCUCGCUGCCGGCUGCUGCUGGUGAGCAUUUCCACGAGGCUGUAGGGUGGAAAUCGGCACGCGGUUUGUUGGUAACUGGCAGCACAGUGGGGCCAUCAUGUAUUUGGGCGGGUGGGCUGUUGGUGGGGACUGCAGGGUGCGUGUGGGGUGUCAGACCUGUGCCACUACAGUGGGGCGCAGGGCCACCGUCCAGGCUAAACGAGGUCCAUCCCGCAAAACCUUUCUCAAGACAACGUGUAGCCUUGCUUUCCUGGAUUUCGUUGCAUACAUACUCACACACACCUUGUCCGUGACUCCGCAGGCGUGAGCACCGUUGUGGUGCCAGACGUGGACCGCCCGUGCGACCAGCAGGGUGAGCUUGUGUGGGCUUUGAUGGUGGGGUGUUGGGAAACGGGACUGGACUAGUAGAUGGGUCCAAGCGUGCGUGCUGGGUUGGGAAAAUGCGGUGUUCAGUGCCAACUCAUAUCAGGCCAGGAUGAAGUGUAGUUUAUGGUGUAGUGCAUUGUGGAUUGUGGCACGCUAACCCUCCCUGCCGCUCCUCUGCCUCUGCAGUGGCAGCAUGUUCGUCGCCCGCCCCUCUGCACCUGUCACCUAUAGCUUGGUAUGAUGCCUGUUGCAUCAUGUGUGCUUUCUUUGUUUUCCCUGUUGUGCAUGUUCAACAGGCGGGCUGCACCUGGCCUGGGUUGGCAUUCCGCUCAUGGUGCUGGCGCUGGUGGUCGAUCGUGGCGUCGGCAUCGUGGAUGAAAUAAAGCAAUGCACGAAGACAUUUCUUGAACGCAACAAUGUCGCCCUGGCGACAGCAUACCACGGUGUGCGUGGUGUCGGGCUUGUGGCCAGUGUUGGCCUGGGCGUGGUUGCAGCGGUUCACUCUUGUGUUAAGCGCCUGAAGGUGCAGCCUGGCCGGCCCCGCGUGUCGCAGCUGAAGCACCCCAAGCAGCAACUUGAUCUGGCCCCUGCAUCUGCGGGGGGCAUGCUGCCGGUGAGGAACAUAGAGGGGCGAUUGGGCAGUGCAGGGUGCGUCAGUUGGCAGCAGUGGUGCAUGGGGCUUGGGCUUGGGCUGGGCUUGGGCCGGAGGUGAGCGAGAGGGCUGGUGGAGGAGUUCUGAGGUUGUUGGUAGGUAGGGUGAAGCCUGCUGGAGGGGAUUCACACAGCCGUGAUUAUUCCUUGGUGGCUCGCUUGAGUGAUGGCCGUGCUCCCCUGCAUAGAUAUGUGUGACCCCCUUCAUGUCCUCACCUGCCUGCCUCUUCCCUCCCUCGCUUCUCCAUGCGCAGGCUGCCGGAACGCAGGUGGAUGCGUCGCAGGAUAGCUGAGGUGGUGGUGGUGCUGGAACCUGGGGAUUGCAGGGGUAGAGAUAGAGGGCAGCUUGCACCUGUACUCUGGGUCGCAGUCACUUGGCUGGCCUGGGCAUGUUUACCUGUGCCUUUAUGUGCGCAACAUGGCUCUGGAGCAAAUGUACCCUGGUCGAGUUUGGGGUUUCAUGAGUCUCAGCUAAAGGUCCUGGCUGCCGGUGAGAACACUGACGAUGUUUCUGCCGGCGAGAACUUAGAUGAUGCUUCUGACUUCUUCUUUCACGUUCCGCACCAACCAGCGGCACGCGCUGCCAACCACAUGCAUAGCAAUUGCAGGCAGUAGUUGCCUAUCCGUCGCUGUUGGGUAAAUACGCUUGGAUGCGCAACUUGCCAAAACUGUUGAGUGAUGCGUGGGAGCUUGUCAGUUAUGUCCAUCGAACCUCGUUGUCACACUGUGGCCACCUGUAGUUUUUAUGUCAUGUUCCUGCGAUGAGUUUCUGCAUGGUGCCGUGGUGAGUGGUGAGCAGUGGCGGAAGCGGUCCUGUUACGGGCCUGAAGUUUUGUUGUGGGUGUUUCCCAGCAGGAGUUUCCCACAGCACGGGUGUUGAGGUGGAGCUCUUACUUUUGGGUGGGGUAGUGGGCGGUGAGACGUGAGAUGUCAAGAGCUUCAUACAAGGCGCAUGCACGUGCUGGGUGCGUUGCGCCAAGCAAGCUCCUGUAACAUUUCGGGUGUUCAUGAAGUAAGGAAGGUGUCGGUUCCAGUGCUUGUUUCACCGCUUCUUGGGGCUGGAGCACAUACAGCCAAUUUGGUGGGCACGUACUGCAAAGGCGGCCACACAACAGGCACCCAUGGGGAACACGCGCGAGACAUGAGCUAAAGGAACAUGUCAUCAUUCAGAGGGAUGAUUCGAGGUGCAUAUGACCACGCUCUGUCGUGCAUAGAAAGCCAAGGGUUAUCAUGGCUUUCCUGUGUUAGCAAAGUGAGCUCAGGCGCUUCAUCGCAGGUUGAUGGCCUCAGUUGUCGUACAGUGCAAGAGUUAAACUUCAGCAAACCACGUUGGUAGGUCACUCCUCGACGACAUCAUCACUGGCAUGCGGCAUAGGUCAUCGCCAAUCCCUCUAGCCUAGAGCAGCCUCGGCCUCCACGAACCAGGCUCGGUACCUUCCUCACAGCCAGGAACUAUGUUGCCGCUGGAAGGUACCCCAAUGCACCAAUAAGGCUUAUUGUGGCGCUCGGAUCGGGCUUAUAUGUCCUGUUUCCGAUAGCACAGCAUCAGCACCACGUAAAAAAGUGUCGAUAUGCAUAACACAAACUCACAAACACCAAGACACACAAACACAAACACACACUCACUCUCUUUCUUUUUUUGUCAUGCACACACAUACACACACACGCACACACAUGCACACACACACGCACACACACACACACGCACACACACACGCACACACAUGCGCACACACACACGCACACACACACACACACACAUACACACACACAUACACACACACGCACACACAUGCACACACACAUGUCCAGCCAGACGUGUACCUGUCAGACGGCAAGCAACCAGGAAUUCACAUGGCGAAGUAUAAGAAUUGGAUGGGCCUGGCGGCCGAACAAGCGGGCAGGAAGGAGGUGCUCCCGCAUAUCACAAUGUUUGUCCUGCGCUCAGCGAAUCACAAGCUUAUGCAGUUUAGGCUUUACUGUUGGGCAUUGGCGGCUAACAGAGCGCGUAAGGGACGGCGUUAUAUCCCUAGGGAGGAGCGAGUAUGCCCUUGCUGCGGCACUGAUAGCCAUAUCGAGGAUGAGAAGCACAUUUUGCUGGACUGUCUGGUGUACGACAAAAUCAGAUCUGAUAUGGGUUUCCCACGCUUCGAGCACACAAAAGACGCUAUGAGGUGGGAACCUGAACGCCUGGCAAGGAUGCUGGAACGUAUAUGGUCCCACCGCAACUCUAUCAUUCCCUUUGGUCGUGAGUAUCCUUCAUCACUUGUUUCGUUGGAAGUGCGAGGUAGGAUGGUGCUUAUAGGCGAUCUGGCAGCCCUUGAGCCCUCGGCUCGUUUUAGGGUGGUUUGCAGGUACGGGGAACGCACCCACGACCAUGUAACAACAAUAACAACAACAACACACACACACACAUACACACGCACACACACACACACACACACACACGCACACACACACACACGCACACACACACACGCACACACACACACACACACGCACACACACACGCACGCACACACACACACACACGCACACACGCACACAUGCACACACGCACACACACAUGCACACGCCACCCUGAAGCCGAAGGAAGAAGGUACGAAGUCGGACUGGAGCCUUGUAAUGAGUGAUGCCGUUACCUGGAUUACAGUCCGGUGUAGAACCAUGGGACGUGCAAUGAUAUGGAGUCUUAAAAGCUUGGUAAUCAGAUGGACGCCGCUGCAUGGUGGCUACUGCUUUCAGUAUCAACCUGGCUGGCAGGCCCCUUCCGAUCAGCUUCACAUCCGCAAGGCCAGAGCAUGCAGCAUCGCCAAUGGUUUGACCACCUGCUCCCGUAACUUAAGAACCGAAUACCGUAUGCCAGUGCCAUGGGCCCAGCACUCUCCCGGAAAGGCACAAAUAGGCUACCCGCUGUCCCUUGUCUAUCUGAUACUGCGACCAGCGACUUUAUGCAUGAAACUGCUGGUCACAAGAAGGUCCUUUCACAGUUCAAUUGAUAGCCUGAAGCUAAGCAUGCGUGGAGUGCUGAACAUGUAGCGUGCGUUGUGAACACCUGGCACAAGAGGNNNNNNNNNNNNNNNNNNNNNNNNNNNNNNNNNNNNNNNNNNNNNNNNNNNNNNNNNNNNNNNNNNNNNNNNNNNNNNNNNNNNNNNNNNNNNNNNNNNNNNNNNNNNNNNNNNNNNNNNNNNNNNNNNNNNNNNNNNNNNNNNNNNNNNNNNNNNNNNNNNNNNNNNNNNNNNNNNNNNNNNNNNNNNNNNNNNNNNNNNNNNNNNNNNNNNNNNNNNNNNNNNNNNNNNNNNNNNNNNNNNNNNNNNNNNNNNNNNNNNNNNNNNNNNNNNNNNNNNNNNNNNNNNNNNNNNNNNNNNNNNNNNNNNNNNNNNNNNNNNNNNNNNNNNNNNNNNNNNNNNNNNNNNNNNNNNNNNNNNNNNNNNNNNNNNNNNNNNNNNNNNNNNNNNNNNNNNNNNNNNNNNNNNNNNNNNNNNNNNNNNNNNNNNNNNNNNNNNNNNNNNNNNNNNNNNNNNNNNNNNNNNNNNNNNNNNNNNNNNNNNNNNNNNNNNNNNNNNNNNNNNNNNNNNNNNNNNNNNNNNNNNNNNNNNNNNNNNNNNNNNNNNNNNNNNNNNNNNNNNNNNNNNNNNNNNNNNNNNNNNNNNNNNNNNNNNNNNNNNNNNNNNNNNNNNNNNNNNNNNNNNNNNNNNNNNNNNNNNNNNNNNNNNNNNNNNNNNNNNNNNNNNNNNNNNNNNNNNNNNNNNNNNNNNNNNNNNNNNNNNNNNNNNNNNNNNNNNNNNNNNNNNNNNNNNNNNNNNNNNNNNNNNNNNNNNNNNNNNNNNNNNNNNNNNNNNNNNNNNNNNNNNNNNNNNNNNNNNNNNNNNNNNNNNNNNNNNNNNNNNNUGCGUGGGUGCUUGUCAGUUAUGUCCAUCGAACCUCGUUGUCGCACUGUGGCCACCUCUGUUUUUGAUGUCGUGUUCCUGCGAUGAGUUCCCGCGUGGUGAGUGGUGAGCAGCGGCGGAAGCGGUCCUGUUACGGGCCUGAAGUUUUGAUGUGGGUGUUUCCCAGUAGGGGUUUCCCACAGCACGGGUGUUGAGGUGGAGCUCUUACUUUUGGGUGGGGUAUUGGGCGGUGAGACGUGAGAUAUCAAGAGCUUCAUACAAAGCGCAUGCACGUGCUGGGUGCGUUGCGCCAAGCAAGCUCCUGUAACAUUUCGGUGUUCAUGACAUAAGGAAGGUCUCGGUUCCAGUGCUUGUUUCACCGCUUCUUGGGGCGGGAGCACAUACAGCCAUUUUGGUGGGCGCGUACUGCAAAGGCGGCCACGCAAACAGGCACACAUGGAGAACACGCGCGAGACACGAGCUAAAGGAACAUGUCAUUCAGAGGGAUGAUUCGAGGUGCAUAUAGCCACGCUCUAUCGCGCGAAAGAAGCCAAGGGUUAUCGUGGCUGUCCUGUGUUAGCGAAGUGAGCUAGGCGCUAAAUCGCGGGUUGAUGGCCUCGGUUGUCGUACAGUGCAAGAGUUAAACUUCAGCAAACCACGUUGGUAGGUCACUCCCCGCCGACAUCAUCACUGGCGCGGCAUUGGUCAUCGCCAAUCCCUCUAGCGUACAGCGGCCUCGGCCUCCGCGAACCAGGCUCGCUACCUUCCUCACAGCCAGGAACUACGUUGCCACUGGAAGGUACCCCGAUGCACCAAGAAGGCUUAUUGUGGCGCUCGCCUCGGACUUAUGUGUCCCGUUUCGGAUAGCACAGCAUCAGCACCACGAAAAACCUGCCGAUAUGCAUAACAAAAAAUCACACACACACACCAACACACACACAUACUUACAAACACAAACACACACAAACACAAACCACACACUCACUCUCUUUCUUUUUCUUGUCAUGCAGAAACACACAGACGCACACCCACACCCACACACAUGCACACACGCGCACACACAUGCACACACACACACACGCACACACACACACACGCACAUACGCACACGCACACGCCACACUUAAGUCGAAGGAAAAAGGCACGAAGUCGGACUGGAGCCUUGUAAUGAGUGAUGCCGUUACCUGGAUUACAGUCCGGUGUAGAACCAUGGAACGUGCAAUGAUAUGGAGUCUUAAAAGCUCGGCAACCAGAUGGACGCCGCUGCAUGCUGGCUACUGCUUUCAGUAUCACCCUGGCUGGCAGGCCCCUUUCGAUCAGUUUCGCAUCCGCAAGGCCAGAGCAUGCAGCAUCGCCAAUGGUUUGACCACCUGCUCCCGUAACUUAAGAACCAAAUACCGAAUGCCAGUGCCAUGGGUCCAGUACUCCCCCAGAAAGGCAGGAUGACACACAAAUAGGCUACCCGCUGUCCCUUGUCUAUCUGGUACUGCCCCGCGACUUUAUGCAUAAAACUGCUGGUCACAAGAAGUUCUUCUUUGUUCCUUUCACAGUUGAAUUGGUAGCCUGAAGCUAAGCAUGCGUGGAGUGCUGAACAUGUAGCGUGCGUGGUGAAACCCCUGGCAAAAGAGGUAACAAACAGAGGGCGUGCUGGCGUUCCGUUCAGUACUUCAGAGGUCAAAGGCAAGCCAUGGGCAAAGUAGGAGCUUUUCCCAGGUGCCAGCCUUAGGCUCCGACGUUUGGAAGCCCGUGGCCGAUUGUAAGUUGCGAAGAGCUCAUGCGUUUGGUCGAGGCCGACCGUCCUCCCUUGAUCGGACGACAGGUUGCUACGCACGUGCUUGUUGCUUUCCUUCGGUCCUAAACGGCCUCCGGUUCGGCGCUGUCGCCCUUUUGCGGUCCAGCAGAGCUUGGACCUUGUGUUCACCGGCCCUGUCCGGGAUGGAAUGCCCUUUGCCGUCCUAAGCAGCGUGACCCAUUAUAUCAGCUUGCUUCCUAGCAAGGACAACAGCUACUGUCCUCCCGUCCUACGGUACUGGUAAUGAGUAAAGGCCGAACAGCUAGGGUCAAACAUGGAGAGACCACUUUUGGCGCCUAAAGAAUGCAUUGUAGUGCGUAUCAAAAUCCAUGUUCAGCGUGCACGUCACAGCAUUUAUACAGUCGCCACUGAGUUAUCCCUGCAUCAGAAAUAUGUAUGAAACUUGCAAGCAGGUGUAGCAAAUCGUUCAUGCCAAUCUGUGCAAGUGCAGAUAGCUGUUAAGCGCAUGUGUUGCAGGUGUGCCAUGUCUGUAUCCUGCGAUCUCUGUUAGGUAAGCGCCCUGUCCCACGGACAGGACAGGGAUACGGCGUGCGUACGGCAUCAAGAUUUGCUUGCAAAACAAAAGCGCUGGUUGCCUGUGUUUCCGGUAUCAGUUCUCUCCUUUGUGCAGCAGAGUCUGAUCACCUUACGAACAUCUAAAAUGGCUUUCGCUCUCGCCACCUCGCGCAAGGCUCUGCAGGUCGCAUGCAAGGCGACCGGCAAGAAGGCCGCUGCUAAGGUCCGUUAUAUUUCGACACCAUUUAUUUUAUCAGCGUACCUUACAUAGACGCACAUACGUAUUUGCAGUGUCCUUUGGCUAACCAGAGACGUUUGUUCCGUUCGCAACAUCUUUACAGCCGGCUGCCCCCAAGAGCUCUGGCAUCGAGUGGUAUGGCCCGAACCGCGCUAAGUGGCUCGGUAGGUUAUCCUGGAGAUCCGAGGAGAUCCGAUAUGCAGCGGG